GACCUGGGCAGUAGCUCUGAUGUUUGCUACACCCGUUCGACGUCUCUUACUUUCCUGCAACCCAGCCCAGUACUCUUUCAUUUGGAAGAAGCUGUUACUAAUUCUAAGUUUCAAAGGAAAUAAGACAAUGUCCCAACGUCAGAGCGGUACCGUCAAGUGGUUUAACGACGAGAAAGGUUUUGGUUUCAUCACUCCAGAAAGCGGUCCGGAUCUGUUCGUACAUUUCCGCGCUAUUCAGGGCAACGGCUUCAAGAGCCUGAAAGAAGGUCAGAAAGUCACCUUCAUCGCCGUGCAAGGCCAGAAAGGCAUGCAGGCUGACGAAGUUCAAGCCGAAGGCUGAUCUUCAUCAACAAAGAAGCCUCUGCUGGCAACAGCAGGGGCUUUUU
rnacentral:sRNA from 1 species